rnacentral:misc_RNA from 1 species
CAGCAAAAAAGGAGAUUCUGCACGGUGUGAGCGGAGAAUUCAGGUCUGGAGAGUUGACCGCCAUCAUGGGGCCUUCGGGUGCGGGAAAGAGCACCCUACUCAACAUUCUGGCUGGAUUUACGUGAGUGAAAAUGUUGAAAGGCUGCCAAGGAAGUAUAUGCAUCAAUGGUAUUAACAGGAAAAGUCGAAUUGAACAAUUCCUGAAGAUGUCCUGCUACAUUACACAAGAUGACGAACUGAGGCCUCUAUUGACUGUCAGAGAAGCUAUGAUGCUAGCAGCGCAUUUGAAACUCGGUUUCACUCGAUCCAACCCUGACAAGUCCAACUUGGUAUCAUAUAUAUUGGGUCUUUUGGGACUAAAAAAACAUGAGAAUACUAGGACAUCUCGAUUAUCUGGCGGACAACGUAAAAGGUUAUCAAUUGCUCUCGAGCUGCUCACCAACCCUCCAAUCCUGUUCCUUGAUGAGCCAACAACGGGACUAGACAGUGUGUCAACCACAUCGUGUGUUUCACUGCUGAAGAAUCUAGCGGCUGAGGGACACACGAUCGUCUGCACAAUCCACCAGCCGACUGCCUCGAUAUUCGAGAUGUUCGACCACCUGUAUGCAAUUGCAGACGGCGACUGCAUCUAUCAAGGCUCCUGCAGCAAUCUGCUGCCGUUCCUGUCCUCAUUAAGUCUGCAUUGUCCCAAAUACCACAAUCCUGCAGACUUUUUAAUCGAAGUGGCAAUUGGUGAAUACGACACAAAUGUGAAGACGAUAGCUGCAGCGGCAGCAAAGCAUGGUCGCCAAGAGUCCACACCUUAUUCCGAAGAAAUAAUCAAAGAUGAAAAUGGUCUGCCAGUGAGAGUAUUGCAAACCAAAAAGUCGCCAGCUUUUGACAUAAUUGAGUACACUUCAUGUUUAGCAGAGCCGGCUCCGUUAUGGUAUCAAGUAUUUCAUCUCCUUCAUAGAAACAUAAUUAUCACACGUAGGUCAAAGUUGCCGCUUGCCUUACGAAUUUUUAUGCACUUUGUGAUCUCAGUAAUGUUUGGAAUCAUUUACAAUAAUGUUGGCAACAACGCAAACUCUGUAUUUGGAAAUUACAUUUACGUUUAUGGAACGAACUUGUUUUUGCAUUAUACCGGACAAAUGGCUGUUACAUUGUCGUUUCCAUUGGAGUUCAAAGUGCUGAGGAGAGAGCAUUUCAAUAGAUGGUAUUCUCUGAUUCCUUACUGCAUAGCCACGCUACUAAUCGAGAUACCGUUUCAGAUUGUUUGUGUUGUCGUUUACCUGGUGCCUAGCUACCUGUUGACUGGACAGCCCCUGGAGUGGGUCAGGUUCUUGAUGUUUCUAAUGUUCACGGUUGCAGUUUGUCUGACUGCGCAAGCGUGUGGAUUUUUGGUUGGAGCCACAACACCAGUAACGUUGGCUGUCUUCAUUGGACCAGUGAUCACUGUAUUCCUAUCAGUGUUCGGAUUCGCAAUGAAGUACAGCGACAUUCCGUCCUACCUGCGGGUCUUCUAUCACAUAUCAUACUUCCGAUCGUCCUUCCAAGGAUCACUGAUGAGCUUGUACGGUAACAACCGGUCCUACCUGCCGUGUCUGAAGAACGGGUUUCACGGCCGUAACGGCUACUGCCACUACACGCAUCCGACAAAGUUUCUCAGGGAAAUGGAGUUCGAAGAACCAAACCCUGUGUUCGAUGUCAGUUACAUUGUUUCAGUUUGUUUACUGGUGUACACAUGUACAGCGACUGCUAUCUGGUAUAGAUUGAACAAAAGGUGAUAGAUUUCUAGCUCUUUGGUAAAUACAUGUUCAGCGACUGCCUCUGGUAUAGAGUGAACUAAACGUGAUAGGAUGUCUAGCUCUUUCAAAAGGUGAUAGAUUUCCAACUCUUUGGUGAAUAUUAGACCCUACAUGUUCAGCGACUGCUAUUUGGUAUAGAUUGAACAAAAAGUGGUAGAUUUCUAGCUCUUUGGUGUGAGCGACUCCUAUUUUGAUAUAGAGUGAACUAAACGUGAUAGGAUGUCUAGCUCUUUCAAAAGGUGAUAGAUUUCCAACUCUUUGGUGAAUAUUAGACCCUACAUGUUCAGCGACUGCUAUUUGGUAUAGAUUAAACAAAAGGUGAUAGAUUUCUAGCUCUUUGGUAAAUACAUGUUCAGCGACUGCCUCUGGUAUAGAGUGAACUAGACGU